AUUGAACGCUGGCGGCAUGCCUUACACAUGCAAGUCGAACGGCAGCACGGACUUCGGUCUGGUGGCGAGUGGCGAACGGGUGAGUAAUGUAUCGGAACGUACCUUUCAGUGGGGGAUAACGUAGCGAAAGUUACGCUAAUACCGCAUAUUCUGUGAGCAGGAAAGCAGGGGAGUCGCAAGACCUUGCGCUGAUUGAGCGGCCGAUAUCAGAUUAGCUAGUUGGUGGGGUAAAGGGACCUACCAAGGCGACGAUCUGUAGCGGGUCUGAGAGGAUGAUCCGCCACACUGGAACUGAGACACGGUCCAGACUCCUACGGGAGGCAGCAGUGGGGGAAUUUUGGUACAAUGGGGGCGAACCCUGAUCCAGCCAUGCCGCGUGAGUGAAGAAGGCC
rnacentral:rRNA from 1 species